rnacentral:lncRNA from 1 species
GAGUCCUCGCCGUCUGCUUGGUGAAGGACUUCCCCAAGGAGCCCCAGGAGAUGGUGAGGGAAGGACCAGUCAGGGUUACAGCUUGCUUCUUCCAGUCAUUUUUCAUCUAGUGACCACAUGUCAGCACACCCAGCCAAAGAAACAUGCCGAUGGGCCUGGCUGUGAUAUUCUGUCUCAUGUCUCAAACAUUUCUGCUCGUUAUCCUGCCAGUGGAUAGUGUUACUGAAAAAUUCCUUGUUGAAAUCAAUCCUGUCUUCAAAGAAGUGGGGAGAAAAAGGCAACAAUUGGUGUGAGGAAUCACAGUCCCUCAAAUUAUUUUACAGAAGAGAGGCUUAUUCUCCUGAUAUUGCUCAAAUCUUCUGGCCCUGUGGAGUCACAAGGAAGGCUGACUCAUUUGUGGCAGGCCGGGCUGUUUCCUUGCUGAAUAUGUGACAACAUAGACCCCUCCAUGGCUGCAUACUGUGAAAUUUCAAUCCCUGUCCUGUCAGCCUGUUCAUGUGAAGACGGAUGAUAUGCCUGAUGAAGUCAAAGGGCCUGAUCCUGCUACUGCUGAAGUAACUAAUAAAUCUCCCAUUAACUUCAGAGAAGCCCUGAAGGAGCCACUUGGUCAAAUUGCUCAAUUAAACAGAGACAAAGUAGCCAUCACGAGUGUUUUGGAGACAGAGAGCCAGGCAGCCCCUGAAGCAGGACAGCAGACCAAGGAGGGUGCAGACUGGGAGAUGUCUGUGCCCUGGGGUGCCUGGAGAGAUGCACCUAGAGGAAACUUUGCAGACCAACUGAAAAAGAGGUGCAGAACAACCUUCAUUUCUCCUUACCCUGGCAAGGACUGGAGUUUGACAGCAUACUGAUGAAAAAAAGACAUUAUGUGAAUGGCAGAAAAGACAUACAGUAGCAAGGUGAUCCUACUACAUAUGGAUAUGUACAGAGAGAUAUCUCAGAACAUCUUCAUUUAAUUUUCUCUUCUGCAAAAGAGAUGGAACAAGGAGGUUUUCAUUUCAAGAUAAAUGCUAAUUGACACUCUGCCUCCCAGGAAAAUAUCACAUGAAGAAAAUGCAGCCUUCCCUGCAGAACAGAGAAGACUGCAAAAUGCUGUUCUGAAUUCCUGAGCUUCAUGGCAUCGAGUUUUAAAUUUUCAUGUCUCCAGGUUUUCAAUAUUUACUUUCAUUUCCUUAUCAAGUUAUAAAAAGGAUGAUGAUUUCAUUGCUUGUGACUUAUUCUUGGGACUUUGGAAGUACCAGUAUCAGUCACUAGUAUUAUUAAAAAACAGUACAGACCCCUGUAUCAGGGAAGGAAAAAUCCAAACAUGGACAGAUUUGUUUCUUUCCUCUUGGUGUGAAAAUGAUAGUACUCCCUAACACAACCCAAAUAGUGAAGAACGAUACUCAUUCAAUUGUGUUUCAACAUUAUAUUCUGCUUUACUUUAUAGAAUAUUUGGAAAAAUUCAGAAUUUUUUUUUCCCAAAAAGAUACUGAAGGGAAUUUCUUAUUCUUCUAAUCUUAAUUAAACAUUGAUAUGUGUAAAAUGUUUUGUGGCUACACGUUCCUUCAAGCUUCCACUUCAAGAUGAAAUGUUUGUUUAAUGUUUUCCACAAAAUGCACACCUCAAGAUUUCAUAGAUACCAGAAUUCUGAAAUUCUAAGUUAUUAUACACAUUGGAAAUGUAAGGAUAUCACACCUGUGCUUUCAUUCUGAACUGUUUCUGAUUCUGUUGAAGGAUUAUUUUGUCAUGUUGACUGGAUCUUUCCAGCUAUGUCUACCAUUUAUUGAACUAUUAAUAUAAUCCACAUGGAAUGUUACAUGAGGCAGCAAUCCUGCAGCUAGGAUUGUAGGCAAUCAUGUAAUUAAAGAUUGUAUCAUGAUACAUCAGCACAGGGAGGCCAAUUUAAUAAGAACAAGAACAAUCUGAAGUCUGGCACUUUCUUUGUUUAGGACUUGCCUUUACAAAUGUCUAAUGAACUAAUCUGAUCUGAUAAUUGCAUGUCUUUUUUGUACUAGAGGAUAUAGUCAGAAGAUACAUUUCUAGAAUAAUUGAAGCAUAAUACCUUUAGCAAAAGAAAAAAAGAGCUCAAAUUCUAGUUCAUCACUUUUCUUAAAGUAUUUCUUCUGCUCAAUAUUUGGCCUUCAUAUUUACUGGUGUGGAAAGUAGGAUUUGAUAGGCUGGAUGGUUUUAUUUGGCAGAGGAAGAAGUUUGUUGUUUACAUUUGCUUAGCUGGUAGAACAGCAUGCUCAGGUGUUUCCUAGUAACUUAAACAGCUACCCCUAAUACUUUUAAAAUAAAAUUAAAAAUAUGAAAUGCA